rnacentral:rRNA from 1 species
ACGUAGGUGGCAAGCGUUGUCCGGAUUUACUGGGCGUAAAGAGCGCGCAGGCGGUCGUUCAAGUCGCGUGUGAAAGCCCCCGGCUCAACUGGGGAGGGUCACGCGAUACUGAUCGACUCGAAGGCAGGAGAGGGUAGUGGAAUUCCCGGUGUAGUGGUGAAAUGCGUAGAGAUGCGGAGGAACACCGAUGGCGAAGGCAGCCCCCUGGGCUGACACUGACGCUCAGGCACGAAAGCGUGGGGAGCAAACAGGA